AUUGAACGCUGGCGGCAUGCCUUACACAUGCAAGUCGAACGGCAGCGGGGGAGAAGCUUGCUUUUCCUGCCGGCGAGUGGCGAACGGGUGAGUAAUACAUCGGAACGUGCCCUGUAGUGGGGGAUAACUAGUCGAAAGAUUAGCUAAUACCGCAUACGACCUGAGGGUGAAAGCGGGGGACCGCAAGGCCUCAUGCUAUAGGAGCGGCCGAUGUCUGAUUAGCCAGUUGGUGGGGUAAAGGCCUACCAAGGCGACGAUCAGUAGCUGGUCUGAGAGGACGAGCAGCCACACUGGGACUGAGACACGGCCCAGACUCCUACGGGAGGCAGCAGUGGGGAAUUUUGGACAAUGGGCGAAAGCCUGAUCCAGCAAUGCCGCGUGUGUGAAGAAGGCCUUCGGGUUGUAAAGCACUUUUGUCCGGAAAGAAAUGGCUCUGGUUAAUACCUGGGGUCGAUGACGGUACCGGAAGAAUAAGGACCGGCUAACUACGUGCCAGCAGCCGCGGUAA
rnacentral:rRNA from 1 species